rnacentral:tRNA from 1 species
GCGGUAUUAGCUCAGUGGUAGAGUCCUAGUUUUCCAAACUCGGGGUCGUCGGUUCAAAUCCGACAUGCCGCU